UAAUGCAUUUAUUUUGUUUUGACAAUAAAAUCUCUCUUAGUUUAAGCUCUCAAAAAAUAAAAAUCUGACAUGUUCUAGAACUGAUAAAAUACACCAUCCUUCUAGCGUAAGAUCCCAGAAACAUUACUGUUGUUUUGACACUGAGUCUCUAAAGCAAGGCUGGCCUCCAAUUCUUGAUCCUCCUUGUCUCAGCCUCCUAGAUGCUAAAAUGGAAGACAUAUGCCAGUAUCUGCUGCUGAUCUUUUACUCUUUUAAGAUUUAUUCUCUCUCUUUCCCUCUCUCUCCACUCUGUGUGUGUCUGUGUGUAUCUGUGUGGGGGUAUGUGCACAAGAGUGCCUGUGCCUGUAGAAGCCAGAGGUGCUGGACGCUUCUGGAGAUAGAAUUACAAACCUUCAUACGCCUUCAGAAAAAAUAAUGCAAAAUUUUCACUCAAAGAGUCUAUCACCAGCUAUUGUUAUAGCCUAAGGCUUGACAGAAUCAGCACACUGGAGCAGUGUCGGGGUCAGGAUAAGAUGAGUAGUCUUCAGGCCCUGUUGGACCCUUUCUAUUCUUCAGCUAGGAAAAUUCAAGAUGUCUUCUACCUUCUCCCGGAUCUCUGGAGAGACUGAGGCCCAGGACAAAGCCGUGAGCCAUGCUUUCUCUUCCAAGAGGGAGCUAGUGUCUGAAGACAGGGCAAGAAGAGCAAACAGGACUCUGGCACUCCUAUGCAGGCUAUGUCCAGCCCUUCCGUUUAUGUACCCCUCAACUCAUCAGAAGACAUUCUAGACAUUCUUUAAAAAGUGAGUCAUGGGCUGGAGAGAUGGCUCAGCGGUUAAGAGCACUGACUACUCUUCCAGAGGUCAUGAGUUCAAUUCCCAGCAACCACAUGGUGGCUUACAACCAUCUAUAAUGAGAUCUGGUGCCAUCUUCUGGCCUGCAAGAACAUAU